rnacentral:rRNA from 1 species
GACGAACGCUGGCGGCGUGCUUAACACAUGCAAGUCGAACGGAAAGGCCCUGCUUUUGUGGGGUGCUCGAGUGGCGAACGGGUGAGUAACACGUGAGUAACCUGCCCUUGACUUUGGGAUAACUUCAGGAAACUAGGGCUAAUACCGGAUAGGAGCUCCUGCUGCAUGGUGGGGGUUGGAAAGUUUCGGCGGUUGGGGAUGGACUCGCGGCUUAUCAGCUUGUUGGUGGGGUAGUGGCUUACCAAGGCUUUGACGGGUAGCCGGCCUGAGAGGGUGACCGGCCACAUUGGGACUGAGAUACGGCCCAGACUCCUACGGGAGGCAGCAGUGGGGAAUAUUGCACAAUGGGCGGAAGCCUGAUGCAGCAACGCCGCGUGCGGGAUGACGGCCUUCGGGUUGUAAACCGCUUUCGCCUGUGACGAAGCGUGAGUGACGGUAAUGGGUAAAGAAGCACCGGCUAACUACGU